GUUAGGGAGCCAUCGUUAAAGCUUUGGGGGAAGAAAGCUCUAAAAGGAGAAUCUCCCAGUGACCUUGGUGGCUUGAUUCACUUGCAGGAUGCUGUUCUGAGGGCCAGCAACUCGAAGGGAUGCAGCUCAGCCCGUUUUGUUGACUUCGGUGAUGCUGUUUUGAGGAAGCAUGUGCCGAAGCCCAGUCGGGCAGUCGAAGGAGCCUUGUCACAGCUGGGAGCUCUGCGGAGAUGCGCGGCUGGCCAUGGAGAGUGAGCUCUGACUUGCAGCGUGGACACAGCUAAGUCCUGGGCUGCAUCAUAUGUGAGCAGUGCUGGGAGGUGCGAGGUGAUUGUUCCCUAGGUGGUCACUGGUGUCACUGGCUGUGGAUGUUUGCCCAUGGAGCUGAGAGGACCAAAAAUAUUAAUUGUCUGACCCGGAGAUGAAUUAGUGCUUGCAGUGCUUCAGGAAAAAGCAGAGGAGUAGGCUGUCAGCUACUCGGACACCUGCCACAUCAAGGGCAGCAGCAGGAGAUGACCCUUCCCUGAUGGAUGGAUGGAUGCUGGUGUGGUGAUGACUCUUCAGGCAUCACAGGUAAGGGGAAGCAUGCUGACACUGAGCUCCAUGGCAGACUUGCUUCCAGCUAUUGUUUCUGCGCAGUAAAGCAAUAAACAGUUGCU